CAUACUAUAGAAUCAUCAUCAAUGUUAGUUCAUUGAGAAAGAAUGAUCCUUAGUGUUCUUUGGACAUAUGGAAAAUAAACAAGAAAACUAGAAAAGAUGGAAUAUUAUUUGAGCCUUUAAUAACUGGAUUAUAUGAUAAUCUCUGCAGCAUAGAUAAGGAAGACUGCAUUUUAGGAAAAAUCAAGAUAACUUCCUCACAAGAGGAGGAUCAUGCAGAACCAGUGAUAACCAUUCCCCUUAACCCGGGAAUAAUCUUGGAAUUGAAAUUGAAAGAUUACCUGAUAAUGAAGAAUUUACAUUUGAUUUGUUGCCUAAAAUUUGCCUUCACCAAAUAAGUUCAUUUCCUCUCCACUAAAGUCAAUGUCUUCUCAAGCAUAGAGAUGAUUUAACUCCUUCGACAUGGUACAAUGAGGGACUAAAUGUGGAGAAUAUUGUGCUGCCCAAUAUUCUCGAGUUUGAUUGUUCUGCUGUGAUACUGAUGCAUGAUCUGAGUUUUCUGGAUCAAGACGAUAAGAUUACUAUUGGUACACGAGGAGGAACAAUAGAGUUUAACACAUUACCCUCUAGAACAAGAGUUGUGGCUCAAUUUUUGCAAAGGGUGUAUACAGUGACCCUUAUCUCAAAAGAUACUGGAGAUCUCAGCCUAAAUACAAUUCUUGAAGGCAAAACCAUGAAAAUACGUGCCCGACUAUUUUUUUGAGACUCUGGUGUUGAACAGUUGUGGACUUUUUAAUGCGAAUCAAAAUGAAUCUUAUGGUGAUAUAACUUUGUAAGUUACUCCCAGAUUAAAGGAACAAUUUUCAUGCUGCGCAAAGUUACCCCCAGAUUAAAGGAACAAUUUUCAUGCUGCAUUUUCUCUUAUUUCUUUGCGACAAUCUGUCUACUAUUUUACGGAGAAAUUUUGACUUUUGAGAGUCAUCACUUAAUUUUGAAAAGAAAUUAAGAAACCUUUGUACAAUACUUAGACAAUUUAAAACAGGAAAAUUGUUUAAGUUAGAGAUUCUGAGUAGGCGGUUCCUAUUAAUGUUUUAGGAAGGUGUUAGGCACCUAAAACGUCCGCUAACUUGCGGUUAUCUGAUCUGUUUGAAAACAUUCUUUUGAUUAACUUUGGAACAUUGAUUUGUUGAAAAAGAAAUUGAUAAAGGAAGAGGUUUUCGCGAAAUCAGUUUUUUAGCGACUUAGUUAGGGAUUUAACUAGGUUCGCAAAGAGACAAGCAAACAAAAAAACGAAAGGGAAAGGGGGAAAAUGGUAAAGUAAUGAUUUAGGCUUUUAAUCUCAAACCAUCGACCCUGUCCUAAUCUAGUUGAGUUUUCGACCCGUUUUCACCUGUCCUAACUCUAUGUUUUUUAGCCUUUUAGCUCGAGUCUCGCUUCACCUGUAUUAAGUACAACUUUGGAUUCGAGGCCCAAAUAAAUAAUUGAAGGAAUAAAUAAAUAUGACAAAAAUAAAUAACGACGACAAAUAAAUAAAUAUAAAGGAGACACGGGUCUCGUCGCCGCUUCAAGAAUGGGACUUUAAUCUAUUCUUCUUCUUCGGAGUCAUGUACUAUGAGAUUAUCUCCUUAGGGCCUUCGAAAUCGACUUAUGAAGGAUAGGCCUCAAUGGCCCAUAAUACAUAUGCUAAGAGAAAAGGGCCUGUCUAGGACACGAGCACAUCCACAUGCAAAAUAAAAGUCAAGCCAUUAAUAUGCAUCCUAAUGUCAAUAUUCAAACAAAUACUGAAUCACCAUGUGUAAUGAAGACAUAUAAAAUUAACUAACCUUGUAAAUAUUGUCUAAGUUAACUACUGAUAGCAAAACCAAUCCAACAAAUGAAGAUAAGUGUCAUAGAAUACUCUUAGCAGUUUUACGAUGAAUCUAAUCCGAUCUAUAGUAAGGUAAACUAAGCGGGAUAUCAAUCAAGCAAGUAAACUUCAAACAAAUUUGGAUUAGCGUAUCAGAACACCCUUAUAGUAUCCUCUGAACAUGCACCUCUUAAUUUUACAUUAAAUCUCCAAAUGAAAUAAACUGGUAAGAGCAUCAUAGACUAAAUAUUCUUGUAGCACAUCUGAAGAUGUAAGACUUCAUAAAAAAAACAAAAACAUAAAAUAAAAAAUAAAAAAUGCUAGAGUUUUCGGAAGGCUAAAAUAAACUCAUGGUUUCGCCUAAACGGACAAUAUAGUGAUAACAUGGUUGAAUUAAAUUCAUACAGGCAAUCCCUGAACUGAUCGAAAAUAAAUUAAAGAUUUUGAACAAAUUCUUCCCUUUACCAGAUUUAAUUCAUCACAAGAUCUUAUUAUUUUACUUGGAAAUGAUAUAGUGAUUCAGCAUAGGGAUUUAAGCAUAUAAAGGGACUCUAAUUGGAUUUCCAUCUCUCUUUGACUGGUUAUUUGAAACCAUGUGUCCAAGGUCAUUGAGAUGUCAUCAACCUCACAACUUUAUUUCAUGAAUAAAUCCAUUUUUUCUCAUGGAUAUCGAAUUAGGGGCCCUAAUGGACCAUCAUUUUACGUAUAAUCAUAGAGACAAAACAUGAGAGGGGCACGCGGAUAGACGGAGAUAAAAGGGGUAAACUUAUUAGGACCUCGUUUGGCAAAUAAAAUAAUGGAGACCGGUAGAAAGAAGCAUAAACAUGGUUGAUUCUAGGCAGCAAAAAUAAGCAAAUAUUUUUUACAACAAUUGUGCUACAUAUGGUGAGUGAUUGCGGACAGAUAGACAGUAAUCCUACGGUGAAUGACUCGCCUUAUGAAUCCUUGCUAACAUCAUUAUAGUGGUGAUUAAAACGAAUAGACAACACACAGAUUCGAAAAUGGCACAUAAUGGCUUUAGAUGUUUGUGAGAGAAAAAGAGGAAAAAAAAAAAGAAAUUUGGGAAUAAAUAGCUUCAAGGGAAACAGGUACAAACAAAUCUCACUUAGGGGUAAAUCCGAAAUGUAAUCUAAUAAACCAUGCUAAACAAAUUUUAAACAAUUUUUUGCAAGCUAAGACUUUUAUUACAACCAAAGCAAGGAAAUUAAACACUGUUAGGAUACUCAACAUAAGCAGGAAUAUUCAACAUCACGAACGAUAAUCACUUGAAAAAAAAGAAAAGAAAAACCUAAGGCCUUCAACAGCUUCUACAGCAACAAAUCCCACCUCAUUCAUGCUUACGACUAAACUACUGUUGCCACAAAGAAGAGAGAUGAAGAAGGAAACAAUAGAUUAAAAGUUGAAGGAGCGAAUUUACCUCUUUAAAAGUAGCAAACGGGACUCGAACCUAUAACAAAAGCUCAACCACUACCACUAGAAGGUUUUCGAAGAGAAGUUUCUUCAAUCGAACCCAGAAAGCUCAGAAAAGAUUUUUCCUUCUUCAGAUUUUUCCAACCCUAGAACUCCUCUAGGGCAGCAAACGGGACGACGAGUUAUCAACAAACUUAUCGCUACCAGAAUCUCGCGACGUCGACCACCAGCAGAGCGUCCUUUUGAUUUUUUCUCUUAUAAAUUUUGAAAUCUCCCAGAUUUUCAAGUAAGACUUUCAACUUGAAUUCAAAAAAAAAUCCAAGAAUUUUUCCUCUCUGUUUUCGAAAUCAGAAACUUACUCAGAAGAUUUCCCCCUUUUCAAAACCCUAAUUUUCAACCUAAAAGCCUAGGAUCAGUCCCCAAAAGAAAGAAAAAUUCCCCCAAGAAAGAAAAAUUCCCCCCUUCAGACCCUAAAGAGAGCUAUUUAUAAAAGGAGGGUUGAGGGUUCGUUUUGAAUUCAAAAGAGGAGAAUGCUCACAAAUUGUACCCCUAUUGAUUUUAUUGAAUGGAUUUUCAACAGAUAGCCAACAACCAUUGGGGGAAAUGGAUCAUUUUCCCAAGAACCAACGAAAAUUUGCCAAACAGGUACGAAUCCAUACGCGUUAUCCUAAAAAUCACAGAAUUCGGAUGUUGGGGGUAACACCUCACCCUCUUAUAUAAGAUUUCAUACCAAAAUCGUGUGGGAAAGCACGUGACUGUGAAGAGAAAGCAGAAAACGAGUUGGAUUUGGGUUGAGAUAAGGGGAAUUGGGGGAAAAUAGGUUGAUUUGGAUGGAUUUUGGUCAAAUGGGUCGGUGGGUUUGAAUGUUAUUUCACCGAAGCUGGGAAUUGUUGUUGUACGUUGUAUUCUUGUUCUUGGAUGGUUGUAUGUGUAGGUUCUUGAAGAAAAGGGGAUAAAGAUUAUGGGACUG
rnacentral:lncRNA from 1 species